rnacentral:misc_RNA from 1 species
AUCUAAAAGAAACAUCAAGUCUAAGGAGUUUAUAAGGGUCAAGGGCCAACUAACUAAUCAACUAGUUCUAACAUUUUAGCGCUAGUUAGCCCAAGUAAGCCCAAUUGUAAUAUCUUUGUUGAAAAUUGAAGGUGGAUGGGCACAAUCCUCGAAGAACUACUAGAAAGAGAAAUAACAAGAGCACUUCUAUUAUAAAAUGAAAUUUCAUCUCUUACAUUUCACACUUAGACACACCAACAUAUAUGGUAGAUACAAUAUGACUCUUCAUGAUCUAAAACUCCUAACAUAUAUAACUAUCAUGACUAUUCAAUAAACUCACAUAUUAACCACUCACAUACAUGUCUCUAAUAAAUAACAUAACACCCAUAACACACUUCAUUAAAUAGGCAUCACACUUAUAGUAGAUUCACGUAUUGACUUUUUAUUUUCUAGAUAUUUCAGUUAUGUUUACUUUUCAACAUUCCUUCAUAGAUUUAUUGUUUUCCAUGACUGAAUCAAUAGGUGAUGCUACUCGCUCGAAAAGAGACCCUAUAGACGGGUUGCUCGCCCGCCCAUGCGACCGACCAUAGGUCAGUCACCAAGACAACGG